AAUAAUUGUUAUUAUUUUAUAACAUUUUUAAGUAAUAAGAUGCUUAAAAUUGUAAAACUUAGAGUUUAAAAAUAUUUUGUUUUAAUUAUUAAUAGUUUAAUUUAAGUUUUUUUUUGUAAAACUUUAGAUAUAUAUGAUAAAUAUUGACUAAAUUUGAUGGAGAUUGAGUAUUUUAUGUUUUUUUAAGAUUCUAAAUAUCCGAACCUGAUCCGGAUCCGAUACGGAUCCAAAAAAUUACGUAUAUUUUAUAGGUAUUAUAAUUAUAGACCCAAACCGAUCUGGAUCUGAAAAGAACCGACCCAAAUCCGAAUCCGAACCGAAAAUUUACAAGUACAUAUUGGAUCCAAAUGUCUAGGACCCGAAGGAUCCACACCCGAAAGUAAUCGGCCCAAAUCCGACCCGAAGACCCGAACAUUUUUAACGAAUUGUAGGUGUUUUGCCCGCACAUGUGGGCAAAAUUAUUUUAAGUUAAUUAUUAAUAUAUGCAUUACUAAUAAAAAUUGAUCAUGAUAAGUUAUUGUUUUGGUUCUCCAAAAAAUUUAAAUCUUAAAUUUUUAUUUUUAAAGUACAUUAAAAUACAUUAUUUUUAGAAUUGUCAUUUUAUUUUCAAAAAAAUUUAAAUUUUUGGAUAGCUUUUAUUAUAGAGAAAUUGACACAAAUACCAUUCAUAGUACCACUUUUCAUUUUUAUAUCACUUUUACCUUCACUUUUAAUGAAGCGUAAAAAAUAUUUACACCUCUAGAGUUAAUUAAUCUAGAUUUAGGGUUUAGAGUUGAAGAGUGUGGUAAGAUUUUUAGAAUGUGAAAUUCAGGAUUCUAAUAAAUAUAUAAAUAAAUACUUUAAAAAUAUAUAAAAAUAAGAAUUUAAAUAAUUUUCGUUUUAAAAAGAAUUUGACAAAAAAAAUUUAUAAAAUUUUCAAAUUUGAAAAAGUAUAAUUCGAAAACAUAAAGAAUUAUUAUUAUUUUAAUAUUAUUCUUUAUUUAUUAUUAUUAUUUAUUUAAAUAAUUAUUAUUAUAUAUAUAUAACAAGGAUAUAAGAGUCUUUUGUCACUUAAUAAAGAAGUUAUUUUUUAAAAUGUCUCUUUAGUAGUAGUAAAGAUGAAUAUUAAUGAAUUAUCUGGUUGAAUAAAAAAUUUGUUUUUAUUUAUGGCUAAAUUUUAUAAUUUUAAUUUAUAAUCAAUAAUCUAAUAAAUAAAUUUUGUCAUUUAUUAAGGGUUAUAAUGACUUUAACGACUUUUAGUGUGAGAACUCGAAUGCAAAAAAUCACUUCGAAAAUAAUAGUAUAGAUGUCAUUUGUCACCAGUAUCAAUAAAAUGAUUUUUACAAACUUUAGAUAAUAGAUUAAUCCAUCUAAAUAUAACGAGUUAUAUUUUUAUUAAAUUAAUUAUUUAAUUUAUUUAAUAAUCUAUCAAAAUAUUUUCAUUCUUUCUGUAAAUGAAAAUUACACAAUUAAAUACUAAAUUUGAUAAAAAUUGUUAUGUUCUCUAUUUUCUAUAAUUUUUAUUUAAUUAUAUAUUUUAAAAUAAAUUAAAUUUUCACAUUAAUCAUAUAAUAAAAAUUAAAUUUUCGAAUAUGUUAUAUUUUAAAUUCUAAAAGUUAUAUUUUUGUAUAUGUAUAUUUUAAUCAUAUAAUAAAAAUCAGAUUUUGUGUAUUUUAUAUUUUAAAUUCUAAAAAUGAUUAUAAAUUACUAAAAUCUAUAAAAAUUCUACAUUGGCAAUUUUGUGAUCAAUGUUUAGAAAUUUUUGUUAAGAUGUGUUUGGGGUAUAAAAACAAGACUCUUGAAACCGAGUAAUUUUAUAUUUUAUGGUGAUAACAGAAUUACCUAGAGACUUGUGGACUAUUAUCAAACAACAUAACACAACCAACAUAAGUCACACACACUAAUAUUAUUCGGCAAACUUAUCACUUUAAAAAUGGGAUCAUUUUUCAAAAAAAAAAAAAAACUUCCUCCGACUAUCUAGUCUUCCCACCCGUCGUCCCACUAAUGCCUCAUGCACUCACAUCCCAUGGUCCUAUAUGGUCCCGUCAGUGUCUAUCUUCCAAGCACUAGCUCCGGCACAUGCUUUCGACAAUGGAUAGUGUAUCAAGACACAGAUUUGGUCCUAGUAUUUAUCAAGUUGCAAGGAUGGAGAUAUUUUGUUAGGGAGGUCUCUUUUUCUCUCUCGACCGCGACUCUCUAAAGCAAAACUCACCACAACUCUGUUUUCCUCCGGUAGCGGCGUCGGAGCCGUUGCCGGUGGCCUUCUCUCCCUUUUAUCUUGUUUUUUUUUUCUUGCCUCUUAAGCUCCUCAAACCUCUCUGUCCGAUAUGCUAAGACUCUAAGAGUCGAUCCACCUUCAGAUCUUCAGAUCCGGGACGCUGGUGAUGACUCUGUCAGGUGGUCGGCUUCCUCCGGAGUUGCGGUGAGGCUAAGGUGGUCAGGAUGUGGCGAGGUCGGCUUUUACGGUGGUUUGAUUCAGAUUGACGUUUUUCCCCUUUGUUCGAUCUGGAUCUAGCCGGAGCUUGCUGGCGCGUGCUUCACUGAAUCGGCUCUCCUGACACAGAUCUGUUCGGAUCUUUGUCUGUGUGGUGCGGUGGUGGCGGCUCUGUCUCCUCCGCCUUGGCGUCUUGGUGCAGGAGGAGUCCUUCUACUCCGCUCAGUUCGGACUUCGACGGUAGUUUACCUUCAAGGCGUGCGUCGGUCUCGCUUCCUCCGGCGGUGUCGUUUGAAGUAUCCGACGGUGCGUGUAAAGUAGCAAGCUUGGUGGCGCGUGGAGUUGUCUGCGCUUUGGCGUCACUUCUUGUGUGGCCAACGUCGCACCGUUGGCUACGGUUUUGAGUGAAGAACCUCCCUCUUGUUCUAAGAGGUGGAGUGCGUGGACAUUAGUGGUGCUUCGUGAGUUUUCGGAGUCUUCCUCUCUGUCCGUGGCGAUGCACUUGGAGUGUUGUCCUUCCCAGUAUCGGAGUCUGUCCUUGCAAGCUUCGGUAGGAUGCCUUCUUUCUUCUUACUGCAGGUACCGCUUCGACGAGACAAGGCAGCUACAGUUCAACCGGUCUUGUUAGGUGUUGAGUGCUCACGCCUUGGCGUCCAGUCCGGUUGGUUCAGCUAUGAACUCUCGGGUCUAUUCACUCAACUAUGCGCUUAAUUCAGCUGAGAUUGCGAGCGUGAGGAGAUCAUCAAGAUCCAGCUACUCUGUUGAUGGCAUAAGAUGAACCGGCAACCAAGGAAACUUGGUGAACGCUACCCUCGAAUGCUUUCUAUCAACGGUUGAGAACGGGGAUUGAUAGUCUAAGGAUAACUGAACUUUUAGCGGAUUGCGCCGGUUUAGAGGUGGUCGAGCGAAGCUAAAGAUGUUUAGUUAGGUGUAGAUUUUUGUUCAAAUCUUGUUUGUAAUCAAAGUUUGAAUUGUCCGUAUUAGGUUUUGAUGUUUAGUUUAAUUUUCGUAAUCCGCUACUAGUUGUCUUUGUAAUUUCUGUCACAAACUUGAAAACUUGGUAUAAUA